UACGGGGGGAGCAAGCGUUGUACGGAUUUACUGGGCGUAAAGGGCGCGUAGGCGGUCGUGACAAGUCACUUGUGAAAUCUCCGGGCUUAACUCGGAACGGUCAAGUGAUACUGUCGGACUAGAGUACAGAAGGGGCAACUGGAAUUCUCGGUGUAGCGGUGAAAUGCGUAGAUAUCGAGAGGAACACCUGCGGCGAAGGCGGGUUGCUGGGCUGAUACUGACGCUGAGGCGCGAAAGCCAGGGGAGCGAACGGG
rnacentral:rRNA from 1 species